rnacentral:rRNA from 1 species
GCCAAUAGGAGGAGCUACACAUGCAGUCGAGCGGUAGCACAGAGAGCUUGCUCUCGGGUGACGAGCGGCGGACGGGUGAGUAAUGUCUGGGAAACUGCCUGAUGGAGGGGGAUAACUACUGGAAACGGUAGCUAAUACCGCAUAACGUCGCAAGACCAAAGAGGGGGACCUUCGGGCCUCUUGCCAUCAGAUGUGCCCAGAUGGGAUUAGCUAGUAGGUGGGGUAACGGCUCACCUAGGCGACGAUCCCUAGCUGGUCUGAGAGGAUGACCAGCCACACUGGAACUGAGACACGGUCCAGACUCCUACGGGAGGCAGCAGUGGGGAAUAUUGCACAAUGGGCGCAAGCCUGAUGCAGCCAUGCCGCGUGUAUGAAGAAGGCCUUCGGGUUGUAAAGUACUUUCAGCGGGGAGGAAGGUGUUGAGGUUAAUAACCUCAGCAAUUGACGUUACCCGCAGAAGAAGCACCGGCUAACUCCGUGCCAGCAGCCGCGGUAAUACGGAGGGUGCAAGCGUUAAUCGGAAUUACUGGGCGUAAAGCGCACGCAGGCGGUCUGUCAAGUCGGAUGUGAAAUCCCCGGGCUCAACCUGGGAACUGCAUUCGAAACUGGCAGGCUAGAGUCUUGUAGAGGGGGGUAGAAUUCCAGGUGUAGCGGUGAAAUGCGUAGAGAUCUGGAGGAAUACCGGUGGCGAAGGCGGCCCCCUGGACAAAGACUGACGCUCAGGUGCGAAAGCGUGGGGAGCAAACAGGAUUAGAUACCCUGGUAGUCCACGCCGUAACGAUGUCGAUUUGGAGGUUGUUCCCUUGAGGAGUGGCUUCCGGAGCUAACGCGUUAAAUCGACCGCCUGGGGAGUACGGCCGCAAGGUUAAAACUCAAAUGAAUUGACGGGGGCCCGCACAAGCGGUGGAGCAUGUGGUUUAAUUCGAUGCAACGCGAAGAACCUUACCUACUCUUGACAUCCAGAGAACUUAGCAGAGAUGCUUUGGUGCCCUUCGGGAACUCUGAGACAGGUGCUGCAUGGCUGUCGUCAGCUCGUGUUGUGAAAUGUUGGGUUAAGUCCCGCAACGAGCGCAACCCUUAUCCUUUGUUG